UACGUAGGGGGCGAGCGUUGUCCGGAAUUAUUGGGCGUAAAGCGCGCGCAGGCGGUCUCUUAAGUCUGAUGUGAAAGCCCACGGCUCAACCGUGGAGGGUCAUUGGAAACUGGGGGACUUGAGGGCAGGAGAGGAUAGCGGAAUUCCACGUGUAGCGGUGAAAUGCGUAGAGAUGUGGAGGAACACCAGUGGCGAAGGCGGCUUCCUGGCUUAAAACUGACACUGUGGCGCGAAAGCGUGGGUAGCAAACAGG
rnacentral:rRNA from 1 species